rnacentral:misc_RNA from 1 species
GCUGGAGGCAGGCUUCCUCUAUGGC